AAAAGGAAUCAAGAUUUUGUUUGUGGAAAGAGAUUCCUGUAAUCUUCAAAGGUGCAAUGAAAAGCAAACACAUAGAUUGUUCAUGAAGAAGGAGAUAAGGUAGAAAAAUGAGUAGGGAAGAGAGGAAUCAAGAUAAUCUUUGAGCUCCAGGUAUCAUAUUGACAUGUGUCAGCAAAAGUAAUAAAAACUCAUCAUUAAGAAGAAAACUCAUUAUUAUUGAUUCAGCCAAAAAAAAAAAAAAGUAUAUUUACAACACAACCUACUAAACAUUAAAUAGGCAAAAACUAAAGUAAAAGAAAAAAAUGUAACCUAACUAACUUAACGAACUAAAAUGAUUAUAUUGUAUUGGGCAUUUGUAUUUUGGUAGUAACAAAUAAAAUAUUUAUUGUUGAAUUGAGAUUGUUGUGUUUGCUUGUGUUCCAUGUUAGUGUGUUCCAUGUUACAAUCAGAGGAAGAAGGAAGGUCGUUGCAACAAUGAUGUAUUUUAACAUAUUAUAUAUUUCUACUUCAAUAAAAUAUGAUGUAAGGGUUGUUGGCGAAGUGGUUAGAAUGAUGCCCCUUUAUUCCAAUAACUUCGGAUCAAUCAUAUGCGGUGCGUCCAAAAAUUUGUAAUUCAUUUUCCAAUUUUUCUAAUUUUCUAAAAAAAAAAAUUAUAAUAAAAAGUUAAUAAAAAUGACAUGAAAUUAAUUGUUACAAAUAUGGAAGUGACACAUCAUCAAUUGGUUUGUCAUAUCAUUAAAAUUUGACUUUAAAUUAGUAAGGGAACUAAAAUCCCGAGAAAAAAAAAUUAUAUUUAAGAAAAAAAAUAUGAAUUUAAAAAUAAAAGGAUCAAAAUAAAAUAAAAAUAAAAAUAGAAGGACCAAAGUUACAAUUAAGUCAAAAUUAAAAUACAGAACUGUUUUUAAAAAACUAAAUAUAAUUUUAUUAGAUAAAAAAUUAAAAUUAAAUUUAAAAUUAAAUUAUGGAUCAUGCUAGAGCAUUGGUUAAGAAUUCAUAAUAAA
rnacentral:lncRNA from 1 species